UACGUAGGUGACAAGCGUUGUCCGGAUUUACUGGGCGUAAAGAGCGCGCAGGCGGUCGUUCAAGUCGAGUGUGAAAGCCCCCCGGCUCAACUGGGGAGGGUCAUUCGAUACUGAUCGACUCGAAGGCAGGAGAGGGAAGUGGAAUUCCCGGUGUAGUGGUGAAAUGCGUAGAUAUCGGGAGGAACACCAGUGGCGAAGGCGGCUCACUGGCCCGGUACUGACGCUGAGGUGCGAAAGCGUGGGGGAGCAAACAGG
rnacentral:rRNA from 1 species